UAGAGAGAGCUGAGGCCGGUCAGUCAGAGAAGAAGAAGAGAUCGCUCGCUCGUUCGAUCCGAACCUCCACUGGCUUUUACGGCCAGUCGUCCUAGCGGCACCCCUCGGUGGCACUCCACAUGCUCCACCCGCGGGAGUUCCGCCGCGAGCGGCUCAAGUAGAGGUGCGAGUAGAAGCAGAAGCGGCCGGUCCCGAGGCCGUACCGGAAGUCGUUCGACUCGGGGCUGCCGCGCCGCUGGGGCCGGCCGGACUAGAGCCGCCGCUAUCGCGUGCGGAAGCGCGACAAGCACCGCCACAGGCACCCGCGGUUGUAGAGGCCGCCCGUGCACUUGGGCCGGCACUGGAAGCCGCGGAAGCACCCGCCGUUGUAGUGGGAGAAGGCGCCGGACGAGAUGACCCAGCGGGUCGAGGACCCGAGGUGGCGGCGGACGAAGGAGGAGGCGAAGAGGUGGCCGCCCGAGGGGUGGCCGUGGAAGCCCGACUGGCCGUAGCCGCGCACCCUCCGCCACCACGACCUCUAGCACUACUGGAAGCCCGACCACAUGUGCCACAUGCGGUGCCGGCACCUGGGGUUCUUCCCGUCGGACCCGUGGUAGCGCGGGUAGCGGUAGCCGAAGUAGCACCCGCGGUUGUAGGACCAGCCGCCGCGGAAGAGGCCGCGCAGGUACUUGGGGCGGCAGAGGAAGCCGGGGCGGGAGCAGUCGACCCUCACCCCCAUGGUCACCCACAUGACCCAGCCGGGGGAGUAGCCGCCGCCGGAGCGGCCGCAGUAGAUGCUCGACGAGAAGUAGAGGGCGUGGGUGCUCGUCGAGGGGUGGUGGCUGAUGAUUCGUUGGUUCGAACGUACGCUCGAGCGGCAGGUAGGCACACUACUAGCUAGCGCAGAGCAGUAGCAGAGGAAGGAACGGUAGCGGUACUCAGCAAAAUCAAACGAAACUUACUUAGGUAGGUAGGGACCCAGCUAGCCAGCCGGUCAUCAGCUCAGUCAAACACCACGCAAGCACGCACCUCGACAUUUUCGCACCUACUAGAGCUAGACCCUGCUGGCUGGGACAGUUAAACGAAGACAUUUUGACACUUAAGCGGGCGGGGCGGGCUCAUUAAAGUUCAAGUCAACUCAAACUUGGGCAGCACGGAAGAACCAUC
rnacentral:rRNA from 1 species